GGGAAAUCACGUGGCAGCAUUCUGAUGUGAUCGAGUGGAAUUCUCCCAGAAUCACCAUCAUCAAACUCGACGUUAAUGCUGGAUUUAUCGGAAUGAGGAUUGGGACUAGCUGUAGAGUGAAGACAUGAAACGUAAUUGAUUCUUCCACUUUCACAUUGAUGAUACUGUAAUAUUCACCUACUGUGAAGUUCGUAUAUCACAUUGAAAUAAGCUGAUGUCAUUUCUUUCUGAUGACGCCAUCUUUAUGAAAAGUAGUUCGCUGAAGUUCCCUAUCCUACAAAACCUACAUGGGGGAGUUUGGUUUGUGUGCAAACGAACUCUGGUGGAAGUUUGAGGACCAGUUAAUUCAUGAUGUAAUUCCAUUUCAUACAACGGUGUUCCGAAAAGACCUGUAUCGAUAUUUUUUUUCAGGGAAUCAAUCAUUUUACAACGAUUUUUAGGGAAUGGGCGAAAUAUGUCGCUUUACAUUACUUAGAGAAAAAUCAGUAAUAUAAGUAAUUAUUAUAUCUCUACUGAUUUUUCAUUAUACAAAUGUAUAGCAACAUAUUUUGCCGAUUCCCUGAAGAUCAUCGUGAAAUGGCUGAUUCCCUGCAAGUGUGAUGUACUAAUUCCUAUUUGGAACACCUAGCAACUUCAUUUUAUCAUUCUAUCUUAUGGAAAGUUCUGAUAUGAACUGAACAGAAUCAUGAAUAUUCAUUAUAAAAUGGAACUUCUGGUUUUAAUGUUUGUACCGGUAUAAUAAAACAGAUGAAGUAUAUCAUUGAGGGAGUAAGGAAGAUUUGAGUUCCCCUAAAGUAAGCUUAUUUCGUUCAGUUUCGGGAAAUAGGUUGUUCUUGGGGAACUGGAAUAUUGCUGACUUCCUCAAAAAUAUACUUCAACUGUAUACUCUCCCAUGAAACAGGUAACUGAUUAUGAACUUAUAUAGCAUCUGAUUAAAUAAUGCAAAUAUAAUCCUGAUAAAAUACAAAAAAAUACUUCAUAAGAAACCACUGAUUAACAGUAUAAAAGUCUAAAUGAUAAGUACAUGUAAUGAAAGAAUCAAUGCAUUAAAAAUUAUCAUAAGAACUUUCCUCUCAAAAUAGUUCUAAAAUCGUCUCCGACUACACAUUUUCAGUUAGAGAUAGCGUGCUUAUUACCUUUCAUAAAUUUGUAUUAAAAAUGACUACUAUAAAAGAAACCGAAUUUCACAAUUUUAGAGAAAUGUCAAACUUGAGGGGGGGGGGGGAGAGAAAAAUAUUUUAUCCGAAAAAGAAAUCAAACAGCAAAGUAACUAUUGUCACUGCUCCCUCUCUACCACGUUUUGCUCCUGUUUUAAGACCAUUGUACAUUUAAUAUAUUUUCAUAAUACCGGUAUAUUAUAAAUAGAAAAAUAGUAGUAU